CAGGGGGUGCAAACGUUGCUCGGAAUUAUUGGGCGUAAAGCGCGCGUAGGCGGCCACUUAAGUCGGAUGUGAAAGCCCCUGGCUCAACUGGGGAAGUGCACCCGAAACUGAAUGGCUUGAGUGCGAAAGAGGGUCGCGGAAUUCCCGGUGUAGAGGUGAAAUUCGUAGAUAUCGGGAGGAACACCGGUGGCGAAGGCGGCGACCUGGGUCGACACUGACGCUGAGGCGCGAAAGCGUGGGGAGCAAACAGGAUUAGGUACCCUGGUAGUCCACGCCGUAAACGAUGGGUGCUAGAUGUUUCUGGUAUUGACCCCGGAGGCGUCGUAGCUAACGCGUUAAGCACCCGCCUGGGAAGUACGGCCGCAAGGCUA
rnacentral:rRNA from 1 species